GUUUGUGUAGCGAAGCAUUUAAAAUCAGCUUUUAUUGUGAAGCAGCUCUGUACACAAUGAAGACAAAGAAAGAAAGAAAGAAAAAAAAAAAAAAAAAGCAAGCUGUUUGGUGAUAUGAGUCAAAGGCAGUUUUUCCAAGGCAAGCAGGCGGGUGUAGAAAACAUUGCUUGAAAUCCUUGAAAUCUUCUGACCCUUUUCCUCCUGCAGCGUGAGCCUGCAGCAACGCAAAGCGUGGGCAGGGGAAGGGUUACAGCUUUCCCAGCUGUUCACACAAAAGGACACUUUGCACCUGUUCCCAGUGAAUGAAAGUCUGCUUUGUGUGGUCGCAGUUCAUCACCCUGCCGGCCUUGGCGUGGGGCCUUGGCGUGGGGCAGGCCAGCCUGGGCCCGCUGGCUGGAACCAGCACCGCGGAGGAAGAGGGAGGCCGCUGGGCAGGCCCCUUGCAGCCUGGCUCCAUUAGCUCUAACAUGCAAACAUGCCCCCACCUGAAGGCCGACGUCACAGCCAGUGCAAACAGCAGAGAUGGUCAGCUAAGCGUGAGCAAGGUGGAGGAAAAUGAAUAAUAAGUCAGAGAAAUGAACAACUCCCAAGCUGCAAGAAAUAUCUUUAAAAAACAGAUAUUGAUUCAGAGACUGUUCUCAUUCUCACAUCUCCCUUCCCCUCUCUCUCCCCACCAUGUCUGAGCUGGGUUGUUCAUCACAAAAACUGACAGGAGGUGUGAACUAGUCAUUUGUCUACACCAUUCAGCUUAAUACAUUUCUGUGGAAGGAUGCUAUCGUUUUCAGUCAAUCAAAUGUUUAGCCACUCCCCUUCAUCUCACCAAAGCUCUGACAUUGACAAGUAUUGCCAUUCCUGUUGGUAUUUCAAACUACUGUUUACCAGCAGGGAGUUAAAAUCCAGCCAAACAAAGUGGUUUCCCAUGGCAGUGGUUACUGUGCACUGAGAAAGGCUCAAACAAGAAUCCCAGCCACUCACCAUUACAGUCAAUAGUGAAACUCCUGUGGACUCCCCUGCCUGCAUUGGGUUCUGAAUGCCAACAUCACAAUUACAGGAGUAAUUGGAGAAACCCAUCUUUUUACACUUCACCUUUUUCAAGCUUGGGGAGGACCUGAUUCUGUUCCACAUAUAAAUAAUCUUCCAAUAAAGAUUGUUCUUUUACCAUAAGGUGGACCACACCAAUGAAGCUUUACUGAAUGUGCAAUGUUCAUUUGACCUAUAUCACUUCUGAGAUCAGCUCUAACAAUAUAGCAUAUCAGCAUUUGAUAAAACCUCCAAGACACAUGACAAAAAUACAUAUAACAAUACAUAUUGCAAUAUGACCUUAAUACAUUCAGCCUUGUCUUUAGUUCUGAUCUGGAGCUUAUUUCUUAUCUUUGUUGCAUUUAUACAGUUACAUUUUUCAUGUACACACCGUGGCCUUUAAUUUGUUUGGUUUGGCAACAGAGGUACCAUAAAAUUGUACCAAGAGGAAAGUCACAGGUUCCUUUGCACAGAGGCCACCCUGUUGCAGUCAGUCUAGACUCAAAUUCCCUUCUUCUUGCACUUCCAGGCUGGUGGGCAGCGCAGGGCAGUGCCAUAGUCCUUGUAUUCCCCCUGCACCUAGAUCAGCAUCAGAUUUGUCUCAUGUAAUGAGUCAUUGGAAAGGUAGGUGUCUAACUGAAGCUAGUCAUCUAGGCCUAAUAACAACCAUGAAGGAGAGAUGUGUACUCUGCAUAGGAGGAUUGCCCCCUCUCAAGCUUGUUUUUGGAGGAAGGCUGGAUGAAAUGCCCUCUGGGGCUGCUCUGUCCUCAUAGGCUACAGAAGGCUAGCUGAGCCCAAAUACCUGGCAUUUAUAUGGCUGAGGGUAGGUAAGGCAAAUCUAGACGCAACCCUGAAGUUCAUGUCAGGAUUUCAUCUUGCCAUAGAGCUGAAAAAAAUAGAGAAGUUGUUUUCCAUGAUGCCCUUUAUUCUGUACAACCAGUAUCGAAAAUAGAAACUGGUGUGGAGAUCUUGCGCUUUCAAUUAUUAUUUUUUUUGCAAAAACUCUUCACUUCCUCCUGUUCUGAACAGACAGAAUUGCACUCCACCCCACAUCAGAAAAUUAGACCCUCACAGGGGCCAAAAAAAAAAAAAAAAAAAAAGGCAAUGGCAAACAAGAAUAUUGAUGUAAGAAAAUGUAAAUAAAAUUGUCUAAAAAGCUUUCAUUUAAUGAAAUAAAAAUAUAUAAUUUUAAACUUCAGAAUUCAUGUCACUGUAUUACUGCUUUGUAAUGAAUGCUCCUUUCUGACUGGUUAUUGGCUGUGAAUUUUGAGGCAGUGCCUGGGCAAGUGGAACUGAUAUACCCCUUAAAAUUAAGUGAAUAAUCCUGAUCCAGAAAGACUGUCAGUUUUCUUUGCG
ensembl:lncRNA